ACUCAAAGGAAUAGACGGGGGCCCGCACAAGCGGAGGAGCAUGUGGUUUAAUUCGAUGAUACGCGAGGAACCUUACCCGGGCUUGAAUUGCAGUGGAAUGACCUGGAAACAGGUCAGUCUUCGGACCACUGUGAAGGUGCUGCAUGGUUGUCGUCAGCUCGUGCCGUGAGGUGUUAGGUUAAGUCCUGCAACGAGCGCAACCCUUACACUUAGUUGCCAGCAUGUAAUGAUGGGGACUCUAAGUGAACUGCCUACGCAAGUAGAGAGGAAGGUGGGGAUGACGUCAAAUCAGCACGGCCCUUAUGUUCGGGGCUACACACGUGCUAAAAUGGUCGGUACAGAGGGUCGCUACCCCGCGAGGGGAUGCCAAUCUUCAAAGCCGAUCUCAGUUCGGAUCGGAGUCUGUAACUCGACUCCGUGAAGUUGGAUUCGCUAGUAAUCGCGCAUCAGCCAUGGCGCGGUGAAUACGUUCCCGGGCCUUGCACACACCGCCCGU
rnacentral:rRNA from 1 species